AAUGGUUUCAUCUUUGCAAAUGUCACUUUCCUCCUAAGGAUAAACAUAAAAGAAGGUAGUUCUGACUCGUAUUAUUAGUCAGGCGGCAAUGCUAGAAGCUAUAAUUCAAAGGGUUGGAGAAUUUGCAGAAAAUGAGGAACAGGAGGAUAUGAGAGCCAAGGUCUGCAGAGACCAUGCAGUCGCUAGAACUCACAUCAGCCCUUACCCUCCACGUGGCACCAGAUUAUCUUGAAGACAAGCCCUGUGUCUUGGGACUAGUAUACCGAACAUGCCUGGGAAAGCUCACGGAAGUGUGCAGACUCCACUCCAUACAACAGUCUCUCCUUGGACCAAACACCCAUGACAAAUUCAAAACAGUUGCCUGGGAUUUGGCUACUGCUUAACAGGUAGUUAUAAACCAUUCUGUGGUGCUAACCGAGCCGGCAUGAAGAAGC